CUGCGGUUCAUCAGGCCUUUAAAGACUGACUGUUUGUUUGCUCCUUUGGCUGCGCAUGGCAUUGCCUGUGUGAACUUUGGCAGGGUCUCCUGGUACCUUUUUUGGUAACUUGUUGAGAGGACAACCAUGAAAAUGGUGGAAAAUAAACACUGGCUCGCAGACGAGGAGGAAUCCUGAAGAAGUGUUUGCUCUCCAGUCUCAGUGCUCCGUGUGCAGGGUGACCAGCAGGGGGCUCUGGACAGCAGGGGAUUCCAUCAGCAAGAGCAAGAAGCGCAGGCUGCUCCAUAUCCGCAGGGCGAUGAAGAUGAUGGGGAUGAGGGUCAUCUUCCUGUCGGCCAUGGAAGACCGCGACUGGGCCUGGGAACUGGUGGCCAGAAUGGGCCGGUACUCUGAGAGAGCAGCAUGCUGGGAUAGAAAUUAAAAACAACUCAAAUGCUAUAUAAUUACUUGGAUGCCCAUUUUUAACGCUUGGUCUCAUGCACAGAAUGUUUGGCCUCAGGCUCAGAAUUAAGAUGAUUGCUGUUAGCUAUUCCAUGGUUAUUAAGAACUACUGAUGACUCUAUGGUCUAAGUGCAUAAUAAUACUGUAUGUCAGCUCCAAGCAUUACAGUUUAUGCAAAUAUUAUACGUGGAGGCUUUUACAGGGAAGAAAAAAGGGAACGAAAAUGUGAUAUUUCCCAUCUCCUUGUCAAUACAAGCCUUUCAAUACCCAGAUGUGAUGGAAGACACUUGAGAAACACAAAGAUCAAAGGUUAUUGGUAUCACUCCAAUUGAUGUAUACCUAACUUUCUCUACAACUUUAUUCUCAGAUAAGAGAAGACUGCAUUCAUAACACUAUAAUAUUUAUGCUUUCCAUUGUACCAUAAAGUGGUUCAAUCAAACAAUCAACAGGCAAAUGAAAGCUGCCUUUGACACCAUAAACACGUGGCACACAGAAUCCCUGUUUGCAGUAGCAUUCCUUUUUUUAAAAAUUGUUUGUGCCAGCUUAAUUCUUUAAAAA